rnacentral:lncRNA from 1 species
CUUUUUUCUUCCAGUCAAUUUUUUCUUUGAUCUACAGAACUUGCUUCUUUUCUCUGAAGUUUUCACAAUACAGCAUGAUAGAAGGAGCACAGAGUGCCAGAGGCAGGGAAUUCCUAUGCUUCACUAGUGACUCAUAAGAAAACUUAAUAGAAGGUCUCUACUGCCUGCUGGCCCUGCAGUACCUGAUUGAUGUGGUCCCAAACUAAAGUAGGCUAACCUUCAUUGAACCAAGCACUUCAGAGCCAUGGGAAGAAGUAUGGGGGAAGGAGUCCUUGUACUCUGGCAAUGAGGAAAACAAACAUUAACAGUGCAAGACACAGUGAGAGUCACAGAUCCAUGGAUGGACGAUCCUUUUGAGGACAAUAGAGGGGGAAUUUGGAUAAGUUUCCUGAGUGAGAAACCUUCCAGAUGGCAAUCUGAAAGUUAGCUGUUCCUUCUCAAAACACAGAGCUUUCUCAAGAGAAAGAUAACACCCUCUUUCAUCAGAGCGAGCGAGCUUUCUUCAUGGUGGCAAUUUCCAGUCUCCAGUGCAAGGAGGGGAAACUGAAGGAGAAUAAGGCGGUUACAUUCAGUUAGAGCCUGAGAGCAGAAUUUGGUUAGGCUGAAGCAGCUGGAAACUGUGGAAUGUAAUACCAGAGAGGAGACUGCCACACAAAGAACUCUAAAAAUUUUGAUUUUCAGCAAACCUUCAGAAGGCAAAAGGGAAAGUUUUCCCAUGGGCCAACGUGGAUAUGUUUCUGUAAUAGUCUGCUCAGCCUUCUACAACAAGAUGUCGCAGACUGGGUGACUUAAACCAGGGAUCCUCAAACCCUGGCAAUGGAUCGGUACGGGUCAGUGGCCUGUUAGGAAUCAGGCCACGUAGCAGGAGUCCAUAUUUGGAAUAACAACAAUAUAACACUCCUUUGGUAGUUAUAUUUUCUCACCUUCUUUACAGAAGAAGAAAUCCUUACUUAGAAAGGAAAAGAAUACCUCGAAAUUUGUCACUUUGGACUUCAAACAGAGCAGCUGAAGAGCAGCAAAGGCAGGGAAAGGGCUUUCUCUGAUCUACCCUUAACCGACUAAGCUCAUUCUAGGGGAAACCAGCUGCCAUAUUAAGAAAACAGUCCUAUGGAAAGGGCCAUGGAACAAAGAAGUGACUUCUGCCAACAACCUCAUGAGUGAACCUAGAAGUGGCUCAUCUAGUCCUGGUCAAAUCUUAUGGACUGUGGCUCCAACUGAUAGUGUGACUGUAACUUCAUAAGAGACGCUGAACCAGACCACCCAAUAAGACACUCCCAGAUUCCCUACUCUCAAAAGUUGUGUGAAAUAAUCACCCCCAGUUGUAUUAAACUGCUAAGUUUUGGGGUAGUGUGUUACACAGCAAUAAAUCAUAAAUACAACAUCCAAG